GGUAAAAAUUUGUAAAAACCUAACUGGCCAUAUUUCAGGUCAGAUAACAUCAACUCAACAUUCUGCCUGCCACAAGACUAAAACGGUAUCUCCACCACCUAUGGCCAGCCUCCACAUUCCUCAAGCCAGAGUUGGAUGACCUCUUUUCUUUGCUGCUAUGGAAUCUACACAUCUCCAAACUAGAGAUAAAAACGCAGCUGAUCCGAAAAGAAUGCCUAGUAAUUCAGACUAUUCUCAGCUUGCUGUGACCCUCGCAGACAUUGCUGUUCCAGCAACCACAGAGAUCAUUUUGUGGUCUGUUCCUGUCAUUUUGCAUGUCUGUUCGCUUGUCUCUGGUAUCGUGGCUUCUUUUCAUGUUGGUAAGACUGGCCAUUCAACAGCAGCAUUCAGAGCCCAGAGUCAGCUUUGAUGGAAGGAGUUCCUGAUCCAGGUUUGAUAAGAGAGGUCUGCACCCAAAAGUCAGCAGUAACAAUUCUGAGACAAAGACGCAUCUUCCACAGUGGUUUCUAGACUUUCACCUCCAAAGGAUUUUUGUUAUAUUCCUUAACCUGCUCCACCUUUUCCAUAGUUUUCAAAUAUUUCUCAUAUUACACAGUAUAAUUGUUUGAGGAAGUAAUGUAUUCAUUUUCUUAUUUUCAGCGUAUACACGUAUUAUUUACAACUGCUAAUCAAGGCUAGAAGCCUCUCAGAAAGAAGUGUGAAAUAACUUUUAUUGUCACACAAUUUGAGCGUUCUCAGUGAAAAGCAGUUUUCUAAGGCUUUUAAAACUGAAGGCUGUGGGAUCUUAAAAUCAAAACAAUUGAAUUCAUGGAUGUAGUAGGAUUGUUACCAGAGGCUGGGAAGGGUAGUGGGGAAAAGUGUAUAUGGUUAAUGGGUACAAAACAAAAUAGUUAGAAGGAAUGACUAAGACCUACUAUUUGAUAGCACAACAGGGUAACUAUAAUUAAUAAUAACAUAAUUGUACAUUUUAAAAUAACCUAAAGAUUGUAAUUGGAUUAUCUGUAACACAAAGGAUAAAUGCUUGAGGGGAUGGACACCCCAUUCACUAUGAUGUGAUUAUUUUACAUGGCAUGCCUGUAUCAAAGCAUCUCAUGUACCCCAUA
rnacentral:lncRNA from 1 species